GUCUACUAGUUGUCGGGUCUUAUUGGACUUGGUAACGCAGCUAACGCGUGAAGUAGACCGCCUGGGGAGUACGGUCGCAAGAUUAAAACUCAAAGGAAUUGACGGGGACCCGCACAAGCGGUGGAUGAUGUGGAUUAAUUCGAUGCAACGCGAAAAACCUUACCUACCCUUGACAUGUACAGAAUCCCGAAGAGAUUUGGGAGUGUUCGAAAGAAAACUGUAACACAGGUGCUGCAUGGCUGUCGUCAGCUCGUGUCGUGAGAUGUUGGGUUAAGUCCCGCAACGAGCGCAACCCUUGUCAUUAGUUGCUACGAAAGGGCACUCUAAUGAGACUGCCGGUGACAAACCGGAGGAAGGUGGGGAUGACGUCAAGUCCUCAUGGCCCUUAUGGGUAGGGCUUCACACGUCAUACAAUGGUACAUACAGAGGGCCGCCAACCCGCGAGGGGGAGCUAAUCCCAGAAAGUGUAUCGUAGUCCGGAUUGUAGUCUGCAACUCGACUACAUGAAGUUGGAAUCGCUAGUAAUCGCGGAUCAGCAUGUCGCGGUGAAUACGUUCCCGGGUCUUGCACACACCGCUCCGUCA
rnacentral:rRNA from 1 species